rnacentral:tRNA from 1 species
GGCGGGGUAGCUCAGGUGGUUAGAGCGUCGGAUUCAUAACCCGAAGGUCACGAGUUCAACUCUCGUCCCCGCUA